rnacentral:lncRNA from 1 species
GUGGAUGGCAAGACGCUCACGGUAGACGGAUGGGCCACCAGACUGCGGGGCUGUCAGGAGGGAUAGGGAUUUCCCGGUGGUUUUGAACCCAGACUUGAGAAACUUUGUGACCGGCACAAGGAGAGGAAGGUCUCAGCAUUGUCACCCAUACCGUGAGAAAGGGUCCGAGGCUUCUGCUCGUGUGCGUGUGCCGGAGCCACGGGACAUGUACGUGUAAUAUCCCAGGAAACGCUAGAUGCAGCUAAUCCAGGAACCCGCACCUCAAAGACCACUGAUCCAGCAGUGCGUCCCACCAGAAAAGGGUGGGUGCGUUACUCACUGAGGGAUACCCCCACUUCUGACACAUCUGACUUCUCAACAUUCGGAAGGUAGGCAGAUACUUACAGAACUGUCCACAUGAA